UGGCAACGGUACUGGCAGCUCUGGUAGUGGUAGUUUGGGAAGUCCUGGCAAAGGUACUGGCAACUCCGGUAUGGGCAAAGUUGGCAGCUGAGAUUUUGGAAGUUCUGGCAGUUUAGGAAGAUCGGGCAUAGGUAAUGUGGGCAAUCCAGGCUGUGGCAAUGUUGGUAGCUCGGGUUUUGGGAGGCCAAUGGGAAGAUCAGGCUUCGGCACAUCUGGCAAACUUACUUCCAAAAGACGGCGAGCCUCCGCUUGAAUUGCAUGGCUGCUGAUUGAUGAUAAGACAAAGAGGAAGAGAAGGUAAAGGGAGUGAUGAGCCAUAGUUAUAGCAGAUGAUUUAUACAGUUCCAAGU
rnacentral:lncRNA from 1 species